GCAUGCACCCUAGUGACUUUAGU
rnacentral:miRNA from 1 species